rnacentral:rRNA from 1 species
UGGGGAAUAUUGGGCAAUGGGCGCAAGCCUGACCCAGCAACGCCGCGUGAGGGAAGAAGGCUUUCGGGUUGUAAACCUCUGUCCUUGGUGACGAAAAAAAUGACGGUAGCCAAGGAGGAAGCCCCGGCUAACAACGUGCCAGCAGCCGCGGAACUACGUAGGGGGCGAGCGUUGUCAGGAAUUAAUGGGCGUCAAGGGUGCGUAGGUGGCCUUUUAAGUUGGAUGUGAAAUACCCGGGCUUAACCUGGGGGGGGCAUCUAAUACUGGAAGACUAGGGUGCAGGAGAGGAAAGCGGAAUUCCUAGUGUAGCGGUGAAAUGCGUAGAUAUUAGGAGGAACACCAGUGGCGAAAGCGACUUUCUGGACUGUAACUGACACUGAGGCACGAAAGCGUGGGGAGCAAACA